rnacentral:rRNA from 1 species
CCUACGGGUGGCUGCAGUGGGGAAUAUUGGACAAUGGGGGCAACCCUGAUCCAGCCAUGCCGCGUGUGUGAAGAAGGCCCUCGGGUUGUAAAGCACUUUCAGUGAGGAAGAACGCCUGGUGGUUAAUACCCAUCAGGAAAGACAUCACUCACAGAAGAAGCACCGGCUAACUCCGUGCCAGCAGCCGCGGUAAUACGGAGGGUGCGAGCGUUAAUCGGAAUUACUGGGCGUAAAGCGCGCGUAGGUGGCUUGAUAAGCCGGUUGUGAAAGCCCCGGGCUCAACCUGGGAACGGCAUCCGGAACUGUCAAGCUAGAGUGAAGGAGAGGAAGGUAGAAUUCCCGGUGUAGCGGUGAAAUGCGUAGAGAUCGGGAGGAAUACCAGUGGCGAAGGCGGCCUUCUGGACUGAAACUGACACUGAGGUGCGAAAGCGUGGGUAGCAAACAGGAUUAGAUACCCGUGUAGUC